GUGCGAUGCACCAGGCUCACAGUGGUGGGCCCUACAGGUGUUUCUAGAGGACACUAUUCGGUAGGUACUCAAUGACCUGUGCCAUUACUAAACAGAGAGGGCUGCCCAGGCCUAGGAAACUGCAAGAAUCACAAAUCAGCCAAAGCCAGUCUUUAGAUAUGGAUAAUUAAGCAAACAGUCACCAUACAAGGGUUGAAGACCUCAUAGCAUCAAUUUUAGCAAGUUAAUAAAUUCUAGUCAUGGCUCAUGGUUACAUGCUAAGCCUGAACAAAUGAGAAUGUCUGCAUAAAAACAGGGACUUAAAGAGUCUACCUUUUGACUUUUUACUGCAUUUUCAUUCUCACUGGGUCUUGGGGUGGGGGGUGAAAAACAACACCUGACAAGAGAUGGCAGUGAGUGUGGAGAAAGGGCACAAACUUACCUGUCAUGUUUAGACAUGACACUCUGCUUGAAAUCUCGCAUCUCCUCAGUGCCUUUUGGGCAUAAUCAGACGUGCUCUACACUGUGAGAGAAGGUGCUAAUGUGAGUCUUCAAAUCUGGGCUGAAUUCUGUGAGUUGAAUCCAUUUGGAUGGUUUAAACAAGAAGACUCAAAAGAUGGGACUACUUAACAGAGGCAUAAGAAGCGUUUGGAACAUACAUUGUAAGAUGCGUGUUAAGGCACCCAGGGAGUAGCAGCAGCUGAAAGCCUUUGGUGCUAGAAGGGCAAAGGUGAAAGGAGUAUUACCAGAAUCCAGUAACACCUGCCACCACGAGAAACUUCAAAAUGGUUUUGCAUGGCACUGCAAAGGGUUGGAUCAUCUCUUUUGUAAGCUCAAGAAAUCACAGUUCUCCUGCCUUUGAGAUCCACCCAGCAUUCUUCUCAUGAUAAGUUAAUCCAGGCUUCCAGAGUCAGUACUUUGCAUUCUGGCUGGCAUCAAACAGAAAUCCUCCUGGGUAGCAGGCUGAGCAGGGCUCAAGCUCGGGUGCCAUUUCGGAAGGUGAAUAUGAGGGCACUCACUGGAUUCUCCGACCUUCUUUAUGCACGAGGUAUUUCUUUUUAGCAGAGCCACUUGUAGAGCAACCCCAUUCUAUGACGUGUGGGCUAUGGUAUGAAUGGAUCCAGAUCGAUUCACCUGGUCUUUGGUAAACAAAUUUUGUAGUUCCAGUUCUUUACUAUUAAAAGUAAUAUUGUGAUAAACAUCCUGAUAUAUAUUUAA
rnacentral:lncRNA from 1 species